rnacentral:rRNA from 1 species
CACGUAGAGUGCGAGCGUUGUCCGGAAUUAUUGGGCGUAAAGAGCUCGUAGGCGGUGUGUCGCGUCGGCCGUGAAAACCUGCAGCUUAACUGUGGGCUUGCGGUCGAUACGGGCAUCACUGGAGUUCGGCAGGGGAGACUGGAAUUCCUGGUGUAGCGGUGAAAUGCGCAGAUAUCAGGAGGAACACCGGUGGCGAAGGCGGGUCUCUGGGCCAAUACUGACGCUGAGGAGCGAAAGCGUGGGGAGCGAACAGG